rnacentral:rRNA from 1 species
ACUCCUACGGGAGGCAGCAGUGGGGAAUCUUAGACAAUGGGGAAACCCGUAGCAUCUAGCCAUGCCGCGUGGACGAUGAAGGCCUUAGGGUUGUAAAGUCCUUUCAGCUGGGAAGAUAAUGACGGUACCAGCAGAAGAAGCCCGCGUACAUCCGUGCCAGCAGCCGCGGUAAUACGGAGGGGCGUAGCGUUGUUCGGAAUUACUGGGCGUAAAGCGCACGUAGGCGGACUAUUAAGUCAGGGGUGAAAUCCCGGGGC